rnacentral:rRNA from 1 species
UGAGGAAUUUUGCGCAAUGGGAGCAAUCCUGACGCAGCAACGCCGCGUGGGUGAUGAAGGCCUUCGGGUCGUAAAGCCCUGUCAGGUGGGAAGAAUGUCCCGGGACUGAACAGGUUCCGGGAGUGACGGUACCACCAGAGGAAGCACCGGCUAACUCCGUGCCAGCAGCCGCGGUAAUACGGAGGGUGCAAGCGUUAUUCGGAAUUACUGGGCGUAAAGCGCGUGUAGGCGGUCCUGCAAGUCUGAUGUGAAAGCCCCGGGCUUAACCCGGGAAGUGCAUUGGAAACUGUGGGACUUGAGUACUGGAGAGGUGGGGGGAAUUCCCGGUGUAGAGGUGAAAUUCGUAGAGAUCGGGAGGAAUAUCAGUGGCGAAGGCGCCCAUCUGGACGGUAACUGACGCUGAGACGCGAAAGCGUGGGGAGCAAACA